UGAGGAACAUGACCUUCGGCGGGGGAUAGCCGGCCCAACGGCCGGGUAAUACCGCGUACGACCACAUGGGGACAUCCCCGAGUGGUGAAAGCAGCAAUGCGCCGAUGGAGUGCCUCGCGGCCUAUCAGCUAGUUGGUGAGGUAACGGCUCACCAAGGCGACGACGGGUAGCUGGUCCGAGAGGAUGGCCAGCCACAUUGGGACUGAGACACGGCCCAGUACCUCCCGUAACGGGGAGCCAG
rnacentral:rRNA from 1 species